UUAGCAUGAGAAACGGCUACCACAUCUAAGGAAGGCAGCAGGCGCGUAAAUUACCCAAUCCUGACUCAGAGAGGUAGUGACAAGAAAUAGCAAACCGGGAACCUCAUGGUUUCACGGUAUUGCAAUGAGAACAAUUUAAAACCCUUAGCGAGAAUCAAGUGGAGGACAAGUCUGGUGCCAGCACCCGCGGUAAUUCCAGCUCCACUAGCGUAUAUUAAAGUUGUUGCAGUUAAAAAGCUCGUAGUUGAACCUCUGUCUGGGGCUAGUUUUGGCUUUGGUCAGGCUAGUUCUAGGCAUCCGCCUACAAGACUUAGAGGGCAUUCAGUUGUUCACUAGGAGGAGUAGGCAUUUUACUUUGAAAAAAUUAGAGUGUUUAAGGCAGGCAAUCGCCCGCAUAUAUUAGCAUGGAAUAAUAGAAUAGGACACUUUUCCAUUUCGUUGGUUAUUGGAAUCGUGUAAUGAUUAAUAGGGACAGUUGUGGGCAUUUGUAUUUAAUUGUCAGAGGUGAAAUUCUUGGAUUUAUUAAAGACAAACUAACGCGAAAGCAUUUGCCAAGGAUGUUUUCAUUAAUCAAGAACGAAAGUUAGGGGAUCAAAGACGAUCAGAUACCGUCCUAGUCUUAACUAUAAACUAUUCCGACUCAAUGUUUGACUGGCUUAUAUAACCAGUUGAGCGUUGUAUGAGAAAUCAAAGUCUUUAGGUUCUGGGGGGAGUAUGGUUGCAAAGCUGAAACUUAAAGGAAUUGACGGAAGAGCACAACCAGGAGUGGAUUCUGCGGCUUAAUUUGACUCAACACGGGGAAACUUACCAGGUUAAAACAAUAGUGGGAUUGACAGUUUGAGAGCGCUUUCUUGAUUGGUUGGGUGGUGGUGCAUGGCCGUUCUUAGUUGGUGGAGUGAUUGUCUGCUUAAUUGCGUUAACGAACGAGACCUUAACCUGCUUACUAGACUGGCGAUCAUCAAUCGUUAGCUCUUCUUAGAGGGACUUUGGUUGUUUUAACUCCAAGGAAGUUUGAGGCAAUAACAGGUCUGUGAUGCCCUUAGAUAUCCUGGGCCGCACGCGUCAUACAAUGACUAGUUCAGAAAGUUUUCUCCUGACCCGAAAGGGGAUGGGUAAUCUUGAUAAUACUAGUCGUGUUAGGGAUCGAUCUUUGCAAUUAUAGAUCUUGAACGAGGAAUUCCUAGUAAGUGCGGUUCAUCAGACCGUACUGAUUACGUCCCUGCUCUUUGUACACACCGCCCGUCGCUUCUACCGAGUGGGUGGUCCGGUGAGAUAAUUGAACUUCGCAGGUAACUGAGAGGAAAGAUUAUCAAACCUAUCCACCUCGAGGAAGAAGAAGUCGUAACAAGGUU
rnacentral:rRNA from 1 species